GGAAAGUGCUCACAUACAAAUUAAGAAAGGUUUCAGACAAAAUAAAAAAGAA
rnacentral:sRNA from 1 species